rnacentral:rRNA from 1 species
GAUCAUGGCUCAGGAUGAACGCUGGCUACAGGCUUAACACAUGCAAGUCGAGGGGCAGCAUUUUUAUAGCAAUAUAAAAGAUGGCGACCGGCGCACGGGUGAGUAACACGUAUCCAACCUGCCGAUAACUCGGGGAUAACCCUUCGAAAGAAGGCCUAAUACCCGAUGGCAUAUCCCUUCCGCCUGGUGGGGAUAUUAAAGAACUUCGGUUAUCGAUGGGGAUGCGUUCCAUUAGCUUGUUGGCGGGGUAAACCGG